AGAAACCUGCACCCCCCUCUGAGACACGCGGAGUGGAAGAGUCCAGAGCGCGCGAGGCUCAAACCUGGUGUAGCUUUCCCCAAUAAACUCGACAUUUUCACGGUUUUACUUCAAAGUAGCCCCAACAGCAACAAGAUACCGUAAACAUUCAAACCAGAAGAGUGUUCCUUAAACUGACCACAUCAGGGAUUAGUGAAUGGCGACGAUGCAGGAGAAGACCGGGGAGGAGAACGGGGAUGAGGUGAAGAUGCUGGAGGGUCACAUUGAAGACCUGCGAGCUGAAAUAGCAUCACUGCAGCGUCAGAAAGAAGAACUCAACAGGGACUCGAUGCUCCACUUUGAAGGAGCCAUGCUGGACGCUCUGCUCAUUGUGGGUGGGCAGACCCAAAACAGAGACGAGGAGACGGUGAUGUUCAAGCUGAAGGAGGAGGUGGAGGAACUGGAGAAGGACCUGCAUCUGCAGACUGAGAUGAACGGCAUCAGUGUGGACGACUGCAAGAUAAAAACUCUCUUUAGUAGUGGCAGGGAGUGGACCCAUCAGGUCUGCGUAUCACUUCAGUGCUCUCAAAUGGUUUUACAAGUGGACUUCCAAAUCACUGAGACUAAAGUCGGUCGUGGUUCUGAGAAGAAAAUCGUUGGUCUAAAUGUGGUGUUGGACUCGGAUGAACUUCAGAAUUUCAGUGGUUUCCUUUCAAGGGUGGAAGAGAGCUUGGACCUUCCGCUGCUCUUCAGGACUUUGAGGAACUUCUCGGACCGAUGUGAUGAGCGAAGCAGAACCUUCCAGCAUUUUCAAGAGACGUUUCCCUCCGUGGCGUCUCUUCCUGGAGGCUGCAGGUCAGAGGUGAUGGUCCUGAGGCGUCCUGAGCUUCCAGGCUGCGUCCUCUUCAUCCACUGGGCAGUUGAAAUAUCCACUGAGGGAACGGUCGUGCCAAAGAUCAACCUGCUGACCAAACUCCCAGAACAGGGACAAACUGAGUGUUGGGGAACAAAUCAGAGACUCAGAGCGGGGAAACACUUUCUGGCAGGGGGAACGUAGCUUUGCACCACACCGGUAACAGAACAAGCUCGGAGACCCCAGAGUUCCUGUCGUGACCUGCAGGAACAUCAAGUCAAAGUUGCUCUGGAGCGGUUCCCCUCUCAGCCUGUGGGCGGCGCCGCUGAGGCCUUCCAGAGCCUGCUGAGGAUGCUGGGAGCUGAAGGCGCCGUGGAGAGCGUCCUGAGAGCGCUGGUAUCUCCUGUGGGGGGGAGGAGC